ACAGCUCAAAUUUGAAAUCUGGCUCUUUUAGGGUCCGAGUUGUAAUUUGCAGAGGGCGCUUUGGCUUUGGCAGCGGUCCAAGUUCCUUGGAACAGGACGUCACAGAGGGUGAGAAUCCCGUACGUGGUCGCUAGCUAUUGCCGUGUAAAGCCCCUUCGACGAGUCGAGUUGUUUGGGAAUGCAGCUCUAAAUGGGAGGUAAAUUUCUUCUAAAGCUAAAUAUUGGCCAGAGACCGAUAGCGCACAAGUAGAGUGAUCGAAAGAUGAAAAGCACUUUGGAAAGAGAGUCAAACAGCACGUGAAAUUGUUGAAAGGGAAGCGCUUGCAGCCAGACUUGCUUGCAGUUGCUCAUCCGGGCUUUUGCCCGGUGCACUCUUCUGUAGGCAGGCCAGCAUCAGUUUGGGCGGUGGGAUAAAGGUCUCUGUCACGUACCUCUCUUCGGGGAGGCCUUAUAGGGGAGACGACAUACCACCAGCCUAGACUGAGGUCCGCGCAUCUGCUAGGAUGCUGGCGUAAUGGCUGUAAGCGGCCCGUCUUGAAACACGGACCAAGGAGUCUAACAUCUAUGC
rnacentral:rRNA from 1 species